CCCUAUCAUUCGCGGUCCAUAGGGGCCUCCCAUACCUCUGCUACCGAUACUCCGAAAUCUCCCUCUCUUUUCUGAAAUUUGGAGGAAUCCUCACUGAAGGGUUCGAGGAUGAGAACCAUUCUCUAGCCAAAGCCCAGGAAGAUUUGUUUUGAGUAGAAAAUUUGCUUCUAUACCUGGGCACAGAUGGUGGGAUAGGCCUACUCAGGAGCUCCUGAUAGGAGAGCGGAUAAAGCCCCGCUGAGAUAGUUACGGUUGAUCUACCAUCUCUGUAGGGUAUGUAUUUUGUGAUAGGGUCAGAUGGAUUUUUGUGGGAAGUAACCCUAGGAUUCUUUUAAGUGGUUUUAUAUGUAAAUGUAAUGGAUAAAGUAACUCUGGUAUUGUGAUGGAUGACAUAGUAGAUGGUUUUAUAGGUUAAUUACGAUUUAAUGUUUUGUGCUGCUUAGGCUUUCG